GCGCGGGUGGCGGAAUUGGCAGACGCGCUAGAUUCAGAUUCUAGUGGGGAACCAUGGGGGUUCAAGUCCCCCCUCGCGCA
rnacentral:tRNA from 1 species